rnacentral:rRNA from 1 species
GACGAACGCUGGCGGCGUGCUUAACACAUGCAAGUCGAACGGAAAGGCCCUGCUUUUGUGGGGUGCUCGAGUGGCGAACGGGUGAGUAACACGUGAGUAACCUGCCCUUGACUUUGGGAUAACUUCAGGAAACUGGGGCUAAUACCGGAUAGGAGCUCCUGCUGCAUGGUGGGGGUUGGAAAGUUUCGGCGGUUGGGGAUGGACUCGCGGCUUAUCAGCUUGUUGGUGGGGUAGUGGCUUACCAAGGCUUUGACGGGUAGCCGGCCUGAGAGGGUGACCGGCCACAUUGGGACGGAGAUGCGGCCGAGACUCCUACGGGAGGCAGCAGUGGGGAAUAUUGCACAAUGGGCGGAAGCCUGAUGCAGCAACGCCGCGUGCGGGAUGACGGCCGUCGGGUUGUAAACCGCUUUCGCCUGUGACGAAGCGUGAGUGACGGUAAUGGGUAAAGAAGCACCGGCUAACUACGUG